rnacentral:rRNA from 1 species
UUAGUCUUUUAAUUUGGGACUGGAAUGAAUGGCUCGACUAAUUAAUUUUGUCUUAUAAUAAUAUUUUGAAUUUUAUCUUUUAAUAAAAAAGUUAAAAUAAAUCUUAAGGACGAGAAGACCCUAUUAAGCUUAACAAAUCUAGUUUUAUUAUCUUAAGUAACCUAAAAUUUGUUUGACUGGGGCAGUAGACAAAAUGAUUUUGUUUUUUUUAUUGUGAAAUAUAAAUCUUGUUAUAUCUAAAAUUUUUAAAAUAAUAAUAAGUUACUAUAGGGAUAACAGCGUAAUUUUUUCUAAGAGUACGUAUUGUCGAAAAAGUUUGCGACCUCGAUGUUGGAUUAAGAUACCUAUUUUAUGCAGUAAUAAAAUAAGGAAGUCUGUUCGACUUUUAAUUUCUUCCA